GAGCUUUCUGGAGGAGCUUUUUUUAGACCGAAAAAAUAACAUUUGACCGGUGGCCGAGCGGAUUAUCAUAGUUACAGCACAGUGAUUGGGGUGAAGGAAAGCCACGUGUCUAGGGCAAACGUAGAACAGUGAAGAGUUAUGAGUGGUGGACAGGGAUUAGGUGGGUCCCAUGAUAAAGCAGCGUAUCAGGGAAAAUGGUUGCUCGGAUUGGUGUGCACGUAAAAGCCAAUCAGCAGGCGGACACGUAUAAAGCACCCAGACCAAAAGUUUACACGUAUGUACCUCAUUAGAACCAAAGUGUGGAACACUUUUGGUGGGAGGUUCCAGUAACUGGACGCGUGUCUACUGUUCGAAUAGUUACUAUUUCUCAGGCUGUCACGCUCCUUGUUCUGUCGUUAUUUUCAAUAUUAUUAUUGAAAGUGAGAUUUGGACUCGGUGAUUGGAUUAGUGAAGAGUUAUGAUUGGUGGACAGGGAUUAGGUAGGUCCCAUGAUAAAGCAGCGUAUCCAGGGAAAUUGGUUGCUCUGAUUGGUGUGCACGUAAAAACCAAUAAGCAUGUGGACACGUAUAGAGCACUCAGACAAAAAGGUGACACGUAUGUACCUCAGUAGAACCAAAGUGGGGAAUACUUUUGGUGGGAGGUUCCAGUGACUGGACGCGUGUCUCCUGUUCGAAUAGUUACUGCUUAAGAGAUUGUCACGCUCCUUACUCGGUCGUGCAUUUCAAACUAUUAUUGAAAGUGAGAUUUGGACACGGUGAUUGGAUGGCAAUAAUGGAACCUGUCUAAAUGGUUGGUUUAGCGAGUGAAGAGAACGCUCUUGUAUGAUGUGGGGGAUGUCUGCUCAGAUAUUGUUGUGGUUAAUAGGGCUAUGGCACUCGGACGCGUGGAGAUUGUUAGGGGUGAUUGCUAGGGCCCAGGUAAAUAUUUGAGACCCUAUAGAAUCUCAUAAUUAAUUAUCGCACCUGCUAUUGCUGUCAUCGAUAUGGUUAUAUACUCCUUUCUUUUUUAUUUAUUUUACGAACCAUUUAAAUUGGUUACAAAAAUUUACACAAAAAAGAGAGGAUAGGUUGUUAUCUUAAUAAGUAUAUCAUAUAGUAAAAAGAUUAACAUUACGAGUAAUUUUUUUAUUCGUCAGAAUGGGAGCGGAAAAAAAUGUUACUGAUAGAGUUAAAACUUUUCUCUCAAGCGUGAAGGCAGGGAGUUAAACAAGUGAGCUGGUUCUUGGAUCCUGGGUUGACCCGCUUUGUUUUGAGGUUCAUCUCCUAUGGCAUAUUUAGUAUGUGCCUAUACAUAUAUACGCACACACUUUAAUUUACAUCAACUACUUUUAAUACUACAUCUGCCGUAUAUUGUAAUUACAAAAUAUUAGCAGUAUUUGGCUCCUCCUGUUCUUUUCAGAUACUCCAAUAUGAAAACACUACUAGAUAAUCAAGUAGUUUUUGAUAAGAUUCUUUCGAUGUAGAAAUUUUUAGGGUAGGAGUCUAGUCAUUGGGUGGUUCUGUCUUUUGUGUAGAGAUGAAAACAUAGUGAGACAAUUAUGUAGAUUUUCAACAAGAUUCUAUUUCCCUAUUAUUAUUUUUCUGGAUAUUUUAAAGUUGUUCAGUUAUUGGUGAUAUAGCGUGGCUGCUUACGAAUGAAACUCAUCUGCUGAGGGUUUGGCUAAAGAACAAAAUAGAUGGUAUACUAGAGAAGUACCAUACAACUACAUGAACCAAUAAUAAAGAAAAUCGUAUGAACAUAUUCUUCUUUAAACCAAACGAUGUAGGCAUCAUGGUCAAAGCUGGAAGGCUGUAGUGGAAAUGAAAAAGAAAAGCCCAAGAGUCGGGUAACAUUCAACCAAAUUAAAGCAUCUUCAAAGCUUAUGAUUAAAAUCAAUAAAGCUGCUUUUAUUGUUCCUUUUCGUUCUUUAUUUUCUAGUAUAAUUCAUCUCCUAAAGUUGCAAGGGCGAUAAUUUGGAUUCCUGAUGAUGUUAAAGCUGCUUAAUUUUUCAUAAUAUUGUACAUUGCAUCUUAACUUUUGAUGUAUAUCAUAACAUAUAUCUGGGGCAGAGAUAAGGACGUGAGGUUCUUCUGAACUCCCUUCACAUGACAAUUACAUUGUAUAUAUAACGUUAAAAUUAUUAUUAUUAUUAAUAUAUAUAUAU
rnacentral:lncRNA from 1 species